GACGGGGGAGGCAAGCGUUGUCCGGAAUUAUUGGGCGUAAAGAGCGCGUAGGUGGUUUGUCAAGUCAUUUGUGAAAACUUUAGGCUUAACUUAAAGAUUGCAAGUGAUACUGGCAUACUUGAGCACAGCAGAGGAAAGUGGAAUUCCUGGUGUAGCGGUGAAAUGCGCAGAUAUCAGGAAGAACACCAGUGGCGAAGGCGGCUUUCUGGGCUGUUGCUGACACUGAGGCGCGAAAGCUAGGGGAGCAAACAGG
rnacentral:rRNA from 1 species